rnacentral:rRNA from 1 species
GUGGGGAAUCUUCCGCAAUGGACGAAAGUCUGACGGAGCAACGCCGCGUGAGUGAUGAAGGUCUUCGGAUUGUAAAGCUCUGUUAAUCGGGACGAAAGAGCCUAGUGUGAAUAAUGCUAGGAAGUGACGGUACCGGAAUAGAAAGCCACGGCUAACUACGUGCCAGCAGCCGCGGUAAUACGUAGGUGGCAAGCGUUGUCCGGAAUUAUUGGGCGUAAAGCGCGCGCAGGCGGAUCUGCCAGUCUGUCUUAAAAGUUCGGGGCUUAACCCCGUGAUGGGAUGGAAACUACAGAUCUAGAGUAUCGGAGAGGAAAGUGGAAUUCCUAGUGUAGCGGUGAAAUGCGUAGAUAUUAGGAAGAACACCAGUGGCGAAGGCGACUUUCUGGACGAAAACUGACGCUGAGGCGCGAAAGCCAGGGAGCGAACGGGAUUAGAUACCCCGGUAGUCC